rnacentral:rRNA from 1 species
CCUCAAAUCAGGUAGGACUACCCGCUGAACUUAAGCAUAUCAAUAAGCGGAGGAAAAGAAACUAACAAGGAUUCCCCUAGUAACUGCGAGUGAAGCGGGAAAAGCUCAAAUUUAAAAUCUGGUGGUCUCCGGCCGUCCGAGUUGUAAUCUAGAGAAGUGUUACCCGCGUCGGACCGUGUACAAGUCUCCUGGAAUGGAGCGUCAUAGAGGGUGAGAAUCCCGUCUUUGACACGGACCCCCGAGGCUUUGUGGUGCGCUCUCAAAGAGUCGAGUUGUUUGGGAAUGCAGCUCAAAAUGGGUGGUAAAUUCUAUCUAAAGCUAAAUAUUGGCGAGAGACCGAUAGCGAACAAGUACCGUGAGGGAAAGAUGAAAAGAACUUUGGAAAGAGAGUUAAACAGUACGUGAAAUUGCUGAAAGGGAAACGCUUGAAGUCAGUCGCGUCGGCCGGAAAUCAGCCUUGCUCUUGCUUGGUGUACUUUCUGGUUGACGGGCCAGCAUCAGUUUUGACCGGUGGAUAAAGUUGUGAGGAAUGUGGCAUCUUCGGGUGUGUUAUAAGCCUCGCUUCGUAUACAUCGGUUGGGGACUGGGAGGAACCCGACAGCGCGCCGAGAGAGGCGCGGGGUUGCGACCCGCAUUGC